GGCCCCAUCAUGUUGAAACACUGGUUCUCGUAUGAUCACCAAAAUUAAGCAACAUUGAGCCUGGUCAGUACCUAGAUGAGUGACUCCUGAGAAAUAUCAAGUGCUGUAAG